rnacentral:rRNA from 1 species
AUGGUAAUUGUGGAUGAGCUUCCAUUUGCAAUUGUUGAGAAGCCAGGAUUUAGAAGGUUUGUGGCAAAGGCUUGUCCUCGUUUCAAUGUCCCAUCCAGGAGGACGGUUACUAGAGAUUGUGUCCGUAUUCAUUAUAGGGAGAAAGUCAAGCUAAAGAAAUUCUUCAAAGAAUCUUGUGAAAGAGUUUGUGUAACUACCGACACAUGGACAUCUUCCCAAAAGCAGAAUUUUAUGUGUGUGACAGCCCAUUUUAUUGACAAUGACUGGGUUCUGCAUAAGUGGAUCAUUGGGUUUUUCUUGGUGAGGGGUCAUAAGGGGGAAGACAUUGGGAAGAACCUGGAGAAGUGUUUGGUUGAGUGGGGCAUAGAUAAGGUGUUUUCAGUAACAGUUGACAAUGCCUCACCAAAUGAUGGAGCGGUAAGCUACAUAAAGAGGAUCAUGAACAGUGCCAAUGCAAGCAUAGGGAGAGGAGAAUAUAUGCACAUGAGAUGUGCUGCUCACAUUCUGAACUUGAUAGUUACCGAUGGGCUAAAACAGUUGGAUAUCUCGGUGAAGCGAGUCUGUGCUGCAGUCAAGUUUGUUAAGAAUUCUCCAGCUAGAAUUACUAAGUUCAAGAAGUGUGCUGAAUUAGAGAAGUUGGCAAAUAAAGGUUUCUUGUCACUUGAUGUAUGCACUAGAUGGAACUCCACAUUCUUAAUGCUGAAAGCUGCAGCCACAUAUGAGAAGGUGUUCGUGAGGUAUGAAGAAGAGGACCCAUACUUUGCAAUUGAGCUAAAUGGCGACAAAAUGCCAGGAGUGCCUCAACCAGAAGAUUGGGAUAAUGCUUCAAAGAUGGCAGAGUUUCUUGAGCAUUUCUAUAAGCUUACCCUUCGUGUUUCAGCCUCAAAUCAUUGCACAUCUCACAUCUUCUUCCAUCAAAUUGCUGAUAUCAUUGUCUUGCUGAGGGCUUGGUGUGGAAGUGGAGACCCUUUGCGUAGAGAGAUGGGAGAAAGGAUGCUGGACAAGUACAACAAGUAUUGGGCAGAUCACAAGAGCUUCAACAUCUUGAUCUUUGUGGCCGCUGCUCUUGAUCCAAGAUACAAGUUGUCAAAUUACAUCAAGAUUGCAACUUUUGAAAUGUUUGGGCAGAUCAAUGGAGAGGAAGUGUGGACAAAAAUGAAUACAACUCUUACAAAUCUGUUCCAAGAGUAUUUUAAGUUAUAUGGUCCAACUGAGCAAGAAGUGCAGCCUGAUGAUGCACCUAGCUUUGAAGAGGACAGCAGCGAAAGCUUGAUGAGUUCCUUGAUUGCAAAGAGAAUGAGAAUGAAUGACUGUGGAAUCAGCAUUAGCCCUUCGAAGUCUGAACUUGAAAAGUAUCUUACAGAGGAUAAUGAAGCAAAUAGCAGCUAA